rnacentral:tRNA from 1 species
GGAGAUAGCUCAGAUGGUAUAGUGCUUGCCUUGCAUGCACAAGGUCCUGGGUUAAAUACUCAGUACCA